rnacentral:lncRNA from 1 species
GUAUCUAAAAUAAUAUUAACAUUUUCAUUGGGCCAAUAAUCAUCUGAUGAUGUUGGCUGACGUCCAUUUUGCCGAUAUGUCAUCUCUUGCCGUACGUCUCGUCCCAUGCCGAAGCACUUUGCUUCAAAAACAACUGUAGUCAGCACCAGUAGCAUGCAGUUUGUUGUUUCGAAAUAUUCAAGGUAUUGAAUUCUCGCCAAAACCAAUCCCUGCUAUAUAUUUUGUCUUGUACAAAAAGAAUGCUGCAACUCAAGAGGUGAAUCCUGUUGUUGCCGUUGUUCUAUUGCUAUGAACUUCAUCUUGCGGUGGAAACUGAGGGGAUAAUGCUGAAACUCAAGACCCAUAAUUAUGUAGUAUAGAUUAUAAAUUUAAAGUGCAUUUCUGGGCUCCCUUCUUUUCUGUGGCCCCUUUUCCUUAACUAACAACUAAUAACCAACGCCCGCCGGUAGUCACUCACCCGCUGUGAGGGGAGGGCUUGGGUGGCCUCUCCUAAAGACUUAGAACCUUUUUUCACGCUAUUUGGACUUCUUUGUGGGUGACGCAUCAACGCCCGUUUGGAGGUCGAAUUUCCGUUUCGACUCCAUCAUAACCGAUCCUCCUUAUGGAAUUCGUGAAUCAACCUAUAAAGUGGGUAGCAAGAAAAUCGCCCCUAUUCCGGAUGAGAUGCUGUCGACACAUUUUCCUUCUAAAACUCAGUACGGUUUAGGCGACAUCUAUAAAGAUCUUCUUAAUUUUGCCGCCAGUAGUCUCAAACUGCAUGGCCGACUGGUUUUUUGGAUUCCAAUCAUACGAAUGGAGUAUGAUCCAGACCUCCUACCUGAACAUCCUUGUUUGGAAACUAUAGCCAACAGUGAGCAGAUCCUAAAUUUGCAUUCCAGCCGUCGAUUAAUAACUAUGCAAAAGAUUAUGGAACCAAAGGAGGCUGAAGAUUCAGCAAUAAUCCACAACCUGCAGUACACAUUUCGACACAAGUUCUUCAAUACCAGCGAAAUCAAAGGACAUGGAAAGGAAGACGAAAGUGCGCGAAAUCUUACGAAAAGAAGCAAACGGGGAAACGGAAUAGCAAAAUUGCCAUGUGAUGAGUAACCUAACAGUUUUUGAAUAUGCAAUACAAUACACAAGUGGUCUAACAUCGCCGACUUUGAUAGGCGAAAUGAUACCGCAGGAAAUGUUUUCGGCUUGAAAUCGUGGAGAACUAAGUUCUAAAAGGUUGGAAACGAAAACUGAAAGAGAUGUAACUAGAAAUGACAAGAGGCUACUGUUGAAACCUGUCAGUAAUCAACGAGAGAAAGAAUUGUAUGUUUAGUGUAACAGUUACAGUAUAUCUUUUUUAUCGGAAAAAUUUGAAAACAAGCUUGAUAACUUAAAAGACGGAGGGCUGUUCAACGUAAAAAAAAAUUUCGUAGAAUGAAUAUGAAAUAUAUGCUCACACUAUGAUCCAUCACCUCGGGCAAUGCUACCGGCAUCGAAGACCAAAUGAACUUUGUCACAGUGGAGGCAGCACUCACAGAAGAAAGAAUUUUUCUGUAUCUGUCGCUAACCGUACGAUUAUUCCGAGUUGCAUGCAUGUUCACUGUCUCGGCGUUCUGUAUGAGUCGAUCGAAAGUACACGUUAUUUACACAUGUCCCAUUUGUGAACGUAUACGCGUAUACGUUAAUUACUUUGUUUCAGGAAUCCCCCACCAGGUGUCACUGCAGUUUAAUAACAACAAUGGCUGCCAUUGCCCACAUUGAUUAGUGACUGGUAGUGCUUAGUGGUCUGUCUUUCACGUUUCAAUGCAGUCUUAGGUGAACGUUUUUAAAUAUUUGUUUGGCGUUCGUUGCCUUGUAGAUUCUCUGAAAGUCGUGCUGGUAUUUUAGCAUAGUUGGUCCAGUUAAAGCGUGGUUAAAUCGUUGAAACAACUGAACCUGAAGAAAAGAAGAAUGCAAGUCAAGUCAUCUUGCGUCUUUUGACAUGUUUGUGGAUCAAGAAAGGAGGAAACCUGAAAGUUGUGGAGCCUAUCGUCACUAUUUUGCCCAAAAACAUUGUAUUCUACUGAUUGUGCCAUCGAAAUUAUACUGGAUUCAUCAUAGUUAUCUUCUGUUUGUAUUGGACUUACUAGAACACCAACCCCAGUGUGGACCAAUCUCUCAUUCCAUCUUCUAGAGUACCUUAUUGGAUCAUUGGAUCAGUGGUUUCAUGUGUUUCUAAAUUGACAUUACAGACUUGAUGUGAAGUCAUGUCCUUUCAAGAAAAAGGGCAAGGGCUUAGUCAACAAGAUUCAUUGUUUUCUAACUCGUCUCGUUCCGUUGAAUCUCCCCUUUACUUCCUUACACAGGCCCUCUUGUUUGGAGGGUAAUUCCUUCGUGAACUUCAUCCAUUGCUGAAAACCAACGAGAUCAUGCUGUAAUUCAAGACCGAUAAUUUGUCUAGUUAGCUAAAUUACAAGUGCAUAUCUGGG